rnacentral:rRNA from 1 species
UACGAAGGGGGCUAGCGUUGUUCGGAAUUACUGGGCGUAAAGGGCGCGUAGGCGGUUGCUCAAGUCAGGCGUGAAAGCCCCGGGCUCAACCUGGGAAUAGCGCUUGAGACUGGGCGGCUUGAGUUCGGGAGAGGUGAGUGGAAUUCCCGGUGUAGAGGUGAAAUUCGUAGAUAUUGGGAAGAACACCAGUGGCGAAGGCGGCUCACUGGACCGACACUGACGCUGAGGCGCGAAAGCGUGGGGAGCAAACAGG